rnacentral:lncRNA from 1 species
CUCCUGCCUCAGCCUCCUGAGUAGCUGGGAUUACAGAUGCCCGCCAUUAUACCUCGCUAAUUUUUGUAUUUUUAGUAGAGACGGGGUUUCACUGUGUUAACCAAGCUGGUCUCGAACUCCUGACCUCAGGUGAUGCACCCGCCUCAGCCUCCCAAAGUACUGGGAUUACAGGUGUGAGCCACCGCUCCUGGCCUCCUCUACCACUUUCUAUCUUUGUAACCUUGGGUAUGAUGUAUUUUGCCUCAAUUUUUUUUGUUUAUUUUUAUUUUUAUUUUAUUUUUAGAGACAGGGUCUUGUUUUGUCACCCAGGCUGCAGUAUAGUGGUACAAUCAUAGCCAACUGCAGGCUCCAACUCCUGAGCUCA